GAUGAACGCUGGCGGCGUGCUUAACACAUGCAAGUCGAACGAACCUUCGGGUUAGUGGCGGACGGGUGAGUAACGCGUGAGAAUCUGCCCUCAGGAGGGGGACAACAGCUGGAAACGGCUGCUAAUACCCCAUAUGCCGCGAGGUGAAAUGAAUUUCGCCUGAGGAUGAGCUCGCGUCUGAUUAGCUAGUUGGUGAGGUAAGAGCUCACCAAGGCAUCGAUCAGUAGCUGGUCUGAGAGGAUGAUCAGCCACACUGGGACUGAGACACGGCCCAGACUCCUACGGGAGGCAGCAGUGGGGAAUUUUCCGCAAUGGGCGAAAGCCUGACGGAGCAACGCCGCGUGAGGGAUGAAGGCCUCUGGGCUGUAAACCUCUUUUCUCAAGGAAGAAGAUCUGACGGUACUUGAGGAAUAAGCCACGGCUAAUUCCGUG
rnacentral:rRNA from 1 species